rnacentral:sRNA from 1 species
AUGUGCCACGCGUGCACUGCGUGCCUCCGCGCCGACCUGGCGACUGCUCGCUACAUUUUGGUAGAC